CGUAUGAAAGUACGUUUCACCUCGGUGACAGGGAGACAGGUGGUGCAUGGUUGUCGUCAGCUCGUGUCGUGAGAUGUUGGGUUAAGUCCCGCAACGAGCGCAACCCCUACGUUUAGUUGCUAACGCGUGAAGGCGAGCACUCUAGACGAACUGCCGUUGACAAAACGGAGGAAGGUGGGGAUGACGUCAAAUCAUCAUGCCCCUUAUGUUCUGGGCUACACACGUGCUACAAUGGCCGGUACAGACGGACGCAAAGCCGCGAGGUGGAGCAAAUCCUAAAAAGCCGGUCUCAGUUCGGAUUGCAGGCUGCAAUUCGCCUGCAUGAAGUCGGAAUCGCUAGUAAUCGCAGGUCAGCAUACUGCGGUGAAUACGUUCCCGGGCCUU
rnacentral:rRNA from 1 species